AAGCAAACGCUCCGCUUACGAGGAGUUCCGCUCAGCUUAGGUGGGAUAGCCAGAGGGUACAUCCUGGGAGUACCAGCUUAGGUGGGAUAGCCAGAGGGUACAUCCUGGGAGUAUAGCUUAGGUGGGAUAGCCAGAGGGUACAUCCUGGGAGUACCAGCUUAGGUGGGAUAGCCAGAGGGUACAUCCUGGGAGUAUAGCUUAGGUGGGAUAGCCAGAGGGUACAUCCUGGGAGUAUAGCUUAGGUGGGAUAGCCAGAGGGUACAUCCUGGGAGUACCAGCUUAGGUGGGAUAGCCAGAGGGUACAUCCUGGGAGUAUAGCUUAGGUGGGAUAGCCAGAGGGUACAUCCUGGGAGUACCAGCUUAGGUGGGAUAGCCAGAGGGUACAUCCUGGGAGUAUAGCUUAGGUGGGAUAGCCAGAGGGUACAUCCUGGGAGUAUAGCUUAGGUGGGAUAGCCAGAGGGUACAUCCUGGGAGUAUAGCUUAGGUGGGAUAGCCAGAGGGUACAUCCUGGGAGUAUAGCUUAGGUGGGAUAGCCAGAGGGUACAUCCUGGGAGUAUAGCUUAGGUGGGAUAGCCAGAGGGUACAUCCUG